GACGAUCGCUGGCGGCGUGCUUAACACAUGCAAGUCGAACGGAAAGGCCCUGCUUUUGUGGGGUGCUCGAGUGGCGAACGGGUGAGUAACACGUGAGUAACCUGCCCUUGACUUUGGGAUAACUUCAGGAAACUGGGGCUAAUACCGGAUAGGAGCUCCUGCUGCAUGGUGGGGGUUGGAAAGUUUCGGCGGUUGGGGAUGGACUCGCGGCUUAUCAGCUUGUUGGUGGGGUAGUGGCUUACCAAGGCUUUGACGGAUAGCCGGCCUGAGAGGGUGACCGGCCACAUUGGGACUGAGAUACGGCCCAGACUCCUACGGGAGGCAGCAGUGGGGAAUAUUGCACAAUGGGCGGAAGCCUGAUGCAGCAACGCCGCGUGCGGGAUGACGGCCUUCGGGUUGUAAACCGCUUUCGCCUGUGACGAAGCGUGAGUGACGGUAAUGGGUAAAGAAGCACCGGCUAACUACGUG
rnacentral:rRNA from 1 species